ensembl:lncRNA
AUGUCAUGCAAAAAAAGCUGCGGAAGGAAAAGCUUCAAAAAUAGGGCAGGAGGAAGUUGGAAGGCCAUUGCAACCCUCUCAUGGAAAGGUAUUGCUAGCAAGCCUCUUGCAAUAUUUAUUUCUGAGAGAGAGCACCUUGCUGCAUUCUGUCCUACUCCAAGGAUGGAUGUUCUAGGCUCUCAGCUUCUGUUAUUCCCAAAGUUAUGGCCAAGGGCUGUGUCCCUGUUCAUGCUCCAUGUGCUAUCAUUGUUGUUGUUGUUGUUGGAGUUAAUGUAUCAUUGUUGUUGUUAUUCCCAAAGCUGUGGCUCCUCAUCCAAGGGCUGUGUCUCUGCGCAUGUUCCAUGUGCCAUUGUUGUUGUUGUUACUGUAUCACUGUUGUUGUUAUUCCCAAAGCUGUGGCUCCUCAUACAAGGGUGGUGUCUCUGUGCAUGUUCCAUGUGCCAUUGUUGUUACUGUAUCACUGUUGUUAUUAUUCCCAAAGCUGUGGCUCCUCAUCCAAGAGCAGUGGCUCUGUGCAUGCUCCAUGUCCUAUUGUUGUUGUUAAUGUAUCACUGUUGUUAUUAUUCCCAAAGCUGUGGCUCCUCAUCCAAGAGCAGUGUCUCUGUGCAUGCUCCAUGUGUUGUUGUUGUUGUUGUUGUUAUUGUUAAUGUGUCACUGUUGUUAUUCCCAAAGGUGUGGCUCCUCAUCCAAGAGCAGUGUCUCUGUGCAGGCUCCAUGUCCUGUUGUUGUUGUUGUUAAUGUAUCACUGUUGUUGUUAUUCCCAAAGUUGUGGCUCCUCAUCCAAUAGCUCCAUGUGCUAUUAUUGUUGUUGUGAUCAUUAUUGUUGUUACUGUAUCACUGUUGUUGUUAUUCCCAAAGUUGUGGCUCCUCAUCCAAUAGCUCCAUGUGCUAUUAUUGUUGUUGUUGUUACUGUAUCACUGUUGUUGUUAUUCCCAAAGUUGUGGCUCCUCAUCCAAUAGCUCCAUGUGCUAUUAUUGUUGUUGUGAUCAUUAUUGUUGUUACUGUAUCACUGUUGUUGUUAUUCCCAAAGUUGGGGCUCCUCAUCCAAUAGCUCCAUGUGCUAUUAUUAUUGUUGUGAUCAUUAUUGUUGUUACUGUAUCACUGUUGUUGUUAUUUCCCAAGCGGUGGUUCCUCAUCUUAUGUGUUAUGUCUCUGUGCAUGCUCCAUGUGCUAUUAUUGUUGUUGUUGUUGUCGUUACUGUAUCACUGUUGUUGUUAUUCCCAAAGCGGUGGCUCCUCAUCCCAGGGCUGCAUCUCUGCACACUCCAUGUGCCAUUUCCUCCUCUGAAUGUGCAAUGUCCCAAUGUUGGAACUGUAAGGUUUUAUCCACUAAAUGCCAAAGGAUAUCCAACAUAGAAGCAUAGCGCAAGCAAGGCCUGGAAAAAAAACCCUCAAGUAUUUCAAUUAAAUAAAUAAGGUUUUUAAAAAUACCUCCUUUUUUGGUUGAAUGGGUUGAGACUCGAUGAUGAGAUAUUCAUUGCAAAACUAUUACCAAAUGUGCUACAGCAGGACAUCCCUCUUGCAAAGACAAAGUUUUGGCAAUUUAAUGAACUUUUUCCAUAAAUGUUUUUAUGAUGGAACCAAUUAGGGAAUGGCAUUUAUAACCCAGGAAUAAAAAUCACGUUGCAUCGUGUUAUUGCUCCCAUUAAUCUCUGAGCAAAUUUUGCCUUGUUUCCGUGCAUUCCCUGGAUGCAUCCAAAGGCCCAUGUGCCAAGCACAGCAUUGUUGUUGUUGUUGUUGUUUUUGUUGUUGUUGUCCUCGUAUAACCUGAGCUUCAUCAAUAAAAUGCAAGGGGGGAAAAGAAGAUCAGACAUCAAAAACAAAAUCUCCCUUUCUUUUUCUUUCCUAAGAAACAAAACAAAACAAACCCGAAACUUUUAAAUUCCUACAAGAGAUGCAUUUUAUAAAUUAAUUUACAGCUCAAUGCUGUAAAUUAUGGGAAUUGUAGUUUUACAAUGACUUUGUUGCCUUCUCUGCUGGAAACUCAAUGCACUACAUGUCCCAGAAUCAGCCAAAAAAAGCCCUUUCUAGGGGAAUCACAGCACCCAGAAUUCCCCAUCCCGCAUGCGAAUGCUCCUUUGAAAGAUCACAGCACCCAUAAUCCACCAACCAGAAUGGGAAACGUUGCUUUUUGGGGAAUCACAAUACUCAGAUUCCUCCAGAAAAGCUCGUUUGAGAGACGACAGUACCCACAAUCCCCAAAUACCAGGAGCCCUUUUUUGUAAGCAGCGAAGCAUCCAUAAUCCACCAAAUGGUGUAGAAAAAGUGGUCAUACCCCUAAAUCCAUCAAACCGCAUGGAAAAGGUCCUUGUGGGGGUACCACAAUACCCAGAAUCCCCAGGCAAACAUAGAAAAAGCUCCUUUUGAGGGCAUCACAGCACCCAGAAUCCACCAACCAAUAAUAAUGAUGAUAAUAGUUAUAGUUAUAAUAAUAAUAAUCAUCAUCAUCAUCAUCAAUCAGCAUGGAAAAUUUCCUUUUGGGGCAAAACAAUACCCAGAAUCCCCCAGCAAACAUAGAAAAGAUUCCUUUAAGGGAAUCACAGCACCCCGAAUCCACCAACCAAUAAUAAUGAUGAUAAUAGUUAUAGUUAUAAUAAUAAUAAUAAUAUGGUAGAGUCUCACUUAUCCAACAUAAACGGGCCGGCAGAACGUUGGAUAUGCGAAUAUGUUGGAUAAUAAGGAGGCAUUAAGGAAAAGCCUAUUAAACAUCAAAUUAGGUUAUGAUUUUACAAAUUAAGCACCAAAACAUCAUGUUUAACAACAAAUUUGACAGAAAAAGUAGUUCAAUACACAGUAAUGCUAUGUAGUAAUUACUGUAUUUACGAAUUUAGCACCAAAUAUCACGAUGUAUUGAAA